GGGCCCUCCCACUCCCACUCCUUCCCUCGAGGCCGGGAACUAGGCCCCGAGCAGCUCCCGGAAGCAAGGCCCACAUCCGGGUACGAAGCCUCGCUAGCUGGCUUGGCGGCCAGGCUCAACGCAAGGGGGGGCCGCCCGCAGGGGCGGAGGGCCUGGGCCGCGGCGUGGGCGCGUCUAGUCUUCUUCCAAGCCCAAGGGCAGCGCUUUCGCGGACGCUGAAUGCUCCCACUCCGCGAGCGCCGGAGUGACGAGUCUCGGGCUCGCGCAGGGGAAGAUUCAAGAAGGAAGCCGGGCCCGACCGGGGGGUGGCGCACGCUCCCCGCCGCGCCCUCGGCCGGCCCUGGCGGUUUUUGCCCCUUGGGGUGGGCACUGCAAACUUCUAUGGAGUGGUCCCACAGGCAGUGAGAUGGCCUCCGCCUAACUUCGUCAGAUUCGCAGACCCACCGUCGAGCGAGACCGCUUUUGCGAAUCAAACCGGCUGCUCUAGUCUCCUUUCUUUGGCCAGAGAGCGCAGAGUCCUGCGGCCUUCGCCCCAAAGUUUGCACGUCCUUGGGCAGCUGGUCCUUUUCAGACAGGGAUUGAGAAACGGAAAUUUCACCACCCUCCAGCCAAACUUUCGAGGACUGAUUGCAGAGGAACUGGUGCUCCAGAUGUUGCACUAGAGGCGCUGCAAGUGUGAGCAGAAUUGCGUUUAAGAAAGUGAAUGCUCCCCUUUUCUGACUGCCUGCAUGCUAAUGAUGCUUGUGGACAAUGGUAGGGUCCAGAAAGAGGAAAAUGCUGAAGGGCUUUUUUAAACUCAGCAUUUCUGUCUGGAGAGAAAGCUGUGUCUGUGUCUGUGUAUGUAUGGCAGUAGACCUACCUCACAAGUGGGAGCAGAUAUUCUCAAUGUUUCUAUUGAAAUAUCUUUAUUUCCAUUUGCAAGAGGAGCUCUGGAGCCUCAUUCUUGUGGUAGCUACCAAGUUCUGGUACGAUGCUGUGCUCUUCCACUUUAUCCUCCCUUUUCUAGCAGAGGAUCUGAGUUAGAAUUUCUCUGUUAUUGCAAGAAACUAUGUAGAACUGAAAGUGGAGUGUUUCCCAUAAUACCGAUAAUGUGAUUUCUUUGAGAUUGUGUACUAUGCUUUUUUAUCUUUAUACCUGUCACAGAACCCCCAAAUAGUGAGUGGUUUGCUCAUCAUAGGUACUUAGCAGCAUGAUUUUGUUUGAAUUAUUUGCAG
rnacentral:lncRNA from 9 species